AUACGGAGUGCGCAAGCGUUGUUCGGAAUCAUUGGGCGUAAAGCGCGUGUAGGUGGCUUGGAAAGUUGGGCGUGAAAGCCCGGGGCUCAACCCCGGAAUUGCACUCAAAACUUCCUAGCUAGAGUCUCGGAGAGGAAGGCGGAAUUCCCGGUGUAGAGGUGAAAUUCGUAGAUAUCGGGAGGAACACCAGUGGCGAAGGCGGCCUUCUGGACGAUGACUGACACUGAGACGCGAAAGCGUAGGGAGCAAACAGGAUUAGAAACCCCAGUAGUCC
rnacentral:rRNA from 1 species